rnacentral:lncRNA from 1 species
AACCUUGAAAGAUUUUAAUGGUAAAAAGUAAAAACCCAGAUUCAACAAUAUCCUCAAACCUGUGAAGUGAUCAAAGAUGAUCUGAUGCCAGAAGAAGAGAAUCUAUAGCUUCAACUUAUAGCCAUUCUUCGUAAUGUGGCAAAUAAACUCCACCACGAAUCAAUUUUAGAGCAAAGGAGGAUCAUCGUCGGGAAAAAUUCGAAAUUGACCG